rnacentral:rRNA from 1 species
CGGCGGACGGGGGAGUAAUGUCUGGGAAACUGCCCGAUGGAGGGGGAUAACUACUGGAAACGGUAGCUAAUACCGCAUAAUGUCUGCGGACCAAGGCGGGGGACCUCCGGGCCUCGCGCCAUCAGAUGAACCCAUAUGGGAUUAGCUUGUAGGUAAGGUAACGGCUUACCUAGGCGACGAUCCCUAGCUGGUCUGAGAGGAUGACCAGCCACACUGGAACUGAGACACGGUCCAG